UGACGCGAAAGUACAAGCCUGUGGGGUCGCUUCUGCAACUGGAUAACUAGCACUGAAAAUCGUCUUUACAUCGGAUGGUUCGGUGUUUUGAAUCAUUUAUUUGGUACCGCUCAAGGAGCGGGAACUGCCAUUCUAACUCUUCUUGGGGGAUUCCAUCCACAAACGCGCGAGACAACUCUCUCUAAGGAACUCGGCAAAAUAGCCCCGUAACUUCGGGAGAAGGGGUGCCCCCUCUCUUUAGCAAAGAAUGACCUUGGUUAUCAAUGGAUUGAACAACCGGGAUCCAUUUACUUAUGAUACCUAGUUGGCAUUGAUAACAAGGAUCUAAUGAAUUAUGAGUUUAAUAGAUCCUACCGGCACGAAAGGCGUAACGAUCUGGGCACUGUCUCGGAGAGAGGCUCGGUGAAAUAGACAUGUCUGUGAAGAUGCGGACUACCUGCACCUGGACAGAAAGACGCAUAAGAACCUGCCCUUGGGAGGGGAACAACAACUGGAAACGGUUGCUAAUACCCCGUAGGCUGAGGAGCAAAAGGAGAAAUCCGCCCAAGGAGGGGCUCGCGUCUGA
rnacentral:ncRNA from 1 species